rnacentral:rRNA from 1 species
UACGAAGGGGGCUAGCGUUGCUCGGAAUCACUGGGCGUAAAGGGCGCGUAGGCGGCUUAUCAAGUCGGGGGUGAAAGCCCGUGGCUCAACCACGGAAUGGCCUUCGAUACUGGUAGGCGUGAGACCGGAAGAGGACAGCGGAACUGCGAGUGUAGAGGUGAAAUUCGUAGAUAUUCGCAAGAACACCAGUGGCGAAGGCGGCUGUCUGGUCCGGUUCUGACGCUGAGGCGCGAAAGCGUGGGGAGCAAACAGG